AUCACCUGGGAAUCUGGUUAAAAUGCAGAUUCUGGUUCAGAACGUCUGGGGUGGGGCCUGAGAUUCUGCAUUUCUAACCAGCUCCCAGAUGAUGCUGA
rfam:Loxodonta africana unplaced genomic scaffold scaffold_103, whole genome shotgun sequence.